AGUCGGUUAGUGUAACUGGUAACACGUUGGUCUCCAAAACCAAUAAUAGGGGUUCAAAUCCUCUACCGAUUG
rnacentral:tRNA from 10 species